GCCCUUAUAGCUCAGUGGUAGAGCGCGUCACUCGUAAUGAUGAGGUCGGUUGUUCAAUCCAGCCUGGGGGCA
rnacentral:tRNA from 1 species